rnacentral:lncRNA from 1 species
AUCUUUAACCCAUAAAGAACAGCUUGAUCAUUAAUCUUCAAAGAGAUGAUUCAUAGACUAGAUAUAACUUAACAGUCAAUGAGCUCAAAAGCUCAUUUUCUCCAGUCGGUAAAUCAUUUCUUCUCAUACGUGACCUAGUUAAAAAGAACCAUCUGUAUACUUCAGGUUAUUUGGUUCUGGAUCUCUUAGACCCAAUGGUAUUUACUAUUUGCUCAAAUAAUUUCUCAAAUGCAUCACUAUGCAAAUGAUCAAGAACCAAAUCUAAAUGAUAAUCUCCGAGAUUAGGUGCCCACAGCCUAGUGCAACUUUUGCACCAUUGCCAACUA